UACGGAGGGUGCAAGCGUUGUCCGGAUUUAUUGGGUUUAAAGGGUGCGUAGGCGGCUUCAUAAGUCCGUGGUGAAAGCCAACAGCUCAACUGUUGAACUGCCAUGGAUACUGUGAGGCUUGAGUACAGGCGAGGUAGGCGGAAUGGAUCGUGUAGCGGUGAAAUGCGUAGAGAUCGGGAGGAACACCAGAGGCGAAGGCGGCAACCUGGACAAGCACUGACACUCAACUACGAAAGCGUGGGGAGCAAACAGG
rnacentral:rRNA from 1 species